rnacentral:rRNA from 1 species
UAAGGAAUAUUGGUCAAUGGACGAAAGUCUGAACCAGCCAUGCCGCGUGAAGGAUGACGGCCCUCUGGGUUGUAAACUUCUUUUAUCUGGGACGAAAAAAGGGAAUUCUUUCUCACUUGACGGUACCAGAGGAAUAAGCACCGGCUAACUCCGUGCC